AUUCCAGUCUGGUGGCUUCUAUCAAUUAUAGAAGGAAAAUAUCAUCUGAUUAAUUGAUGAUUUCUUUGUGACUUGAGAGCUAAGAAAGAAGGGAGGGAGGAAGGAAGUCAAAUAUUAGUAGUUAGGAGUUGCUUUGGCGACUUAUUUUUAAUUCCUCUCCUGUUUAUUGCAAUGGAAUGUGUACUCAUAAUCAAGAGGAGGGAGAGGAAAUGUCUAAUUAAUUGGUAAAACUGACAUGGCAAGAAGCGCUGCUCAGUUAAAAGUAAACACAUUUGACCAACCAUGAGGGCCUAGUAGAAGUUCUGGUUAUUGGAGUGUCGAUUUUGGCCUUAUUGCAAGUGAAUUUAAUAAAACAGUUUGUUUGCUUCAGAAGUAGCAUCUUUAGAUUGGAAGCAAAGUUUAUAGCUUCAGUAACUGGUCUUUAAAAUGUGAAAGGCGAGUGAUGUAGAAAAAGUCCUUGGAGUUCAUUUUGAGUUCUGGGCAUAUGCU
rnacentral:lncRNA from 1 species